GUAGUACUCCCUCCGUCCGAAAAUUCUUGUCUUACAUUUGUUUAGAUACGGAUGUAUCUAACACUAAAAUGUAACUAGAUACAUCCGUAUUUAGACAAAUUUAAUAUAAGAAUUUUGGGACGGAGGGAGUACAAA
rfam:Triticum aestivum genome assembly, contig: Triticum_aestivum_CS42_TGACv1_scaffold_501652_6BL